UGGGACGUGCGUAAUGUUUCAUUCGUCCCUCCUGGUUGGGACAGUUGAAACAACAUAAGGGGACGAAUGAAACAUACCGUUUAAGCCAUAUACACGUCCAACAACUUCGACAUUUUACUACAUAUCAUGAAUGAACGAGGUGAGCAGAGCAGAGGAGGAUCCCUCACCGUUGACGACACAGGCUCCUGGAACUCCGGGCUCAGCUCAUGGCAGAAGAGAUAGAGCAGCAAGCGCUCACACCUCUGUAGACGAGACAACAAGAGGAGAGGAGAGGAGAGGAGAGGAGAGGAGAGAGGGGAGAGAGGAGAGGAGAGGAGAGGAGAGGAGAUCAUGGGAAAUCGAGGUGAAAAGAGUAAAAAUCAAAAGAUAAUUAAAUCUGAACUGAUGAUGGAGGAGAGGUAAAGAUGUGUGUACAGUAACGAGGAAAA